UCAACAUGAUGAAUACCACUGCAGGGAAACAAAUCACUCCGCAAAUAUAACAGCCCACUUUCUGAUGGACAAGGAAUAUUUUCCCCCCAUUUACUCAUAUUCAAACAAUUGGAACUAAUACAGUUUUAUAAGCAGGACCCAAAGCUAUUACUUUUCUCAGAAACUCUGUAUUGGGGCUUGGAAAUAGGUAUGAUGAGAAUUCUUUUCUAUCCAUUAAAAUAAGGUUACCUUCAUAAGUUCAGAUCCAACCUAGCUUGGUAGUGACUUGAAUAGGGCAAACCCUUUUUUUUUUUUUUUUUUUUUUUUUUUUUUUUUAAUUGUGGGAAACUCCAGGUUUAUUGGCACACAACUUUCUCAUAUAAAACUUCGGAAAAUGCUGCAAUAUAGUAAUAUUUUUUAAGGUUUGAAAAAAUAUAAUGGGCAAAUUAUUUUAUAUUUUACCUUAUAAGUCUGCUUGAACAGUGAUCUGGAUGUCUCAUGUCUUGUCUUUAGGAGGCUGAGCUCUGUCUGAGCUUUUAUGUAUUUAAUGUAACCUAAAGAGGGCAUGUGGCAGCUCAUGGGACAUAGAACCCAGCUUCCUUGCCAGUCUUCAGUAAGAGUAAUCUACUGAAAAAGCACAUAGAGGAAUGACUGAUUGCUUAGAAAAUAAUGAUGACUGAAAUACUGAUCCAGGGAGUUGUGUAAGGAACAUGGUGCUGAGAUAGAAACUUGUUAACAAACACUGGGAUCCCAGGAUCUUCCUUUAGGAGGUGAUAUCACAUGUGACCUAUCCCGGCCUUUCUUUCAAGGUGACAUGAAUUAAAAAAAAUAAUUAAAAUGGUUUGCAGUGGUGUUCUGCACUCCCACA